rnacentral:rRNA from 1 species
UCUCUUGAGAGCGGCGGACGGGUGAGUAAUUGCCUAGGAAUCUGCCUGGUAGUGGGGGAUAACGUCCGGAAACGGACGCUAAUACCGCAUACGUCCUACGGGAGAAAGCAGGGGACCUUCGGGCCUUGCGCUAUCAGAUGAGCCUAGGUCGGAUUAGCUAGUUGGUGGGGUAAUGGCUCACCAAGGCGACGAUCCGUAACUGGUCUGAGAGGAUGAUCAGUCACACUGGAACUGAGACACGGUCCAGACUCCUACGGGAGGCAGCAGUGGGGAAUAUUGGACAAUGGGCGAAAGCCUGAUCCAGCCAUGCCGCGUGUGUGAAGAAGGUCUUCGGAUUGUAAAGCACUUUAAGUUGGGAGGAAGGGCAGUAAAUUAAUACUUUGCAGCAUUGACGUUACCGACAGAAUAAGCACCGGCUAACUCUGUGCCAGCAGCCGCGGUAAUACAGAGGGUGCAAGCGUUAAUCGGAAUUACUGGGCGUAAAGCGCGCGUAGGUGGUUCGUUAGUUGGAUGUGAAAUCCCCGGGCUCAACCUGGGAACUGCAUUCAAACUGACGAGCUAGAGUAUGGUAGAGGGUGGUGGAAAUUU